rnacentral:rRNA from 1 species
UACGUAGGGUGCAAGCGUUAAUCGGAAUUACUGGGCGUAAAGCGUGCGCAGGCGGUUAUGCAAGACAGAUGUGAAAUCCCCGGGCUUAGCCUGGGAACCGCAUUUGUGACUGCAUAGCUGGAGUACGGCAGAGGGGGAUGGAAUUCCGCGUGUAGCAGUGAAAUGCGUAGAUAUGCGGAGGAACACCGAUGGCGAAGGCAGUCCCCUGGGCCUGUACUGACGCUCAUGCACGAAAGCGUGGGGAGCAAACGGG